GUUCAUGACGUGUCUUUAUCAUAUUCAUCUCUACCUUACAAAGGUGUUGUACAAAUUAUCAUUGAGGGUGAGACCAAGAAUGUUUGUUGGCAAAGUUUAAUUUACUACGCAAAGCAUACUGUUUGUCGUUACCUGGGAUACGCCAGAGCAUACUCUCUUGUUAAUGUGUCCACUCCAGUGGAUGCAAAAGAUGAAACAUUUUCUGGAAGUACAAAUUGUAAUGGUAGAGAGAAAUAUUUAUCCCAGUGUUCAAUUAAUGCUUCGGUCAGCGAAAGUUGUUCUGGGUUAUCAUACAUAGAGUGUGUACCAUUAGGCCUAGGUAAGACUGGUAAAACUAAGACAAGGAGGAAGGAAUAGAAUGCAGAUGUAAAAGAAAUGGGCCAAGAAUAUAAAAAGAAAUAGAAAGAAAAUAGAUAAGAGGAUUAAAAAUAGAACGUGGUGG